GUAGGCGUUAUCAGUCGCUAUAAGCCCCAUAGAUGUGGGUGAAUAGGGGCCUACUACACCCACUAGUAGGUUUUAUUAUCUAGUCACAUGGUAAAUCACCGAAAGAAGAUACAAAAGAACAUGACAGUGACCGUAGUAAUUAUGACAGGGGCAGAAGUGGAAGGCAGGCGCUGUUGUAUAGUCAGUGUGAGACUCCAUAAAUGUGU